GACGAACGCUGGCGGCGUGCUUAACACAUGCAAGUCGAACGGAAAGGCCCUGCUUUUGUGGGGUGCUCGAGUGGCGAACGGGUGAGUAACACGUGAGUAACCUGCCCUUGACUUUGGGAUAACUUCAGGAAACUGGGGCUAAUACCGGAUAGGAGCUCCUGCUGCAUGGUGGGGGUUGGAAAGUUUCGGCGGUUGGGGAUGGACUCGCGGCUUAUCAGCUUGUUGGUGGGGUAGUGGCUUACCAAGGCUUUGACGGGUAGCCGGCCUGAGAGGGUGACCGGCCACAUUGGGACUGAGAUACGGCCCAGACGCCUACGGGAGGCAGCAGUGGGGAAUAUUGCACAAUGGGCGGAAGCCUGAUGCAGCAACGCCGCGUGCGGGAGGACGGCCUUCGGGUUGUAAACCGCUUUCGCCUGUGACGAAGCGUGAGGGACGGGAAUGGGGAAAGAAGCACCGGCUAACUACGU
rnacentral:rRNA from 1 species